UACAGAGGUCUCAAGCGUUGUUCGGAUUCAUUGGGCGUAAAGGGUGCGUAGGCGGCGCGGUAAGUCGGGUGUGAAAUCUCGGAGCUUAACUCCGAAACUGCAUUCGAUACUGCCGUGCUUGAGGACUGGAGAGGAGACUGGAAUUUACGGUGUAGCGGUGAAAUGCGUAGAUAUCGUAAGGAAGACCAGUGGCGAAGGCGGGUCUCGUGGACAGUUCCUGACGCUGAGGCACGAAGGUCAGGGGAGCAAAACGGGG
rnacentral:rRNA from 1 species